rnacentral:rRNA from 1 species
GAGUUUGAUCCUGGCUCAGAUUGAACGCUGGCGGCAUGCUUAACACACGCAAGUCGAACGGCAGCGCGGGGAGCUUGCUCCCUGGCGGCGAGUGGCGGACGGGUGAGUAACACGUGGGAAUCUGCCUGGUAGUGGGGGACAACCCGGGGAAACUCGGGCUAAUACCGCAUACGCCCUACGGGGGAAAGCGGGGGACCUUCGGGCCUCGCGCUAUCAGAUGAGCCCGCGGCCGAUUAGCUUGUUGGUGAGGUAAUGGCUCACCAAGGCGACGAUCGGUAGCUGGUCUGAGAGGAUGAUCAGCCACACUGGGACUGAGACACGGCCCAGACUCCUACGGGAGGCAGCAGUGGGGAAUAUUGGACAAUGGGCGAAAGCCUGAUCCAGCAAUGCCGCGUGUGUGAAGAAGGCCCUAGGGUUGUAAAGCACUUUCAAUGGGGAAGAAGAGCAGGGUGCCAAUACCACCCUGUGAUGACGUUACCCAUAGAAGAAGCACCGGCUAACUCCGUGCCAGCAGCCGCGGUAAU